rnacentral:rRNA from 1 species
UACGUAGGGUGCAAGCGUUAUCCGGAAUUAUUGGGCGUAAAGAGCUCGUAGGCGGUCUGUCGCGUCUGCUGUGAAAACUGGGGGCUCAACCCCCAGCCUGCAGUGGGUACGGGCAGACUAGAGUGCGGUAGGGGAGAUUGGAACUCCUGGUGUAGCGGUGGAAUGCGCAGAUAUCAGGAAGAACACCGAUGGCGAAGGCAGAUCUCUGGGCCGUAACUGACGCUGAGGAGCGAAAGCAUGGGGAGCGAACAGU